rnacentral:tRNA from 1 species
GGGGGUGUAGCUCAGUGUUAGAGCACUUGCCUAACAUGCAUGAGGCUCUAGGUUUGACUCCCAGCACUACAA